UGUGCUUUUUAAAACACCUUUAUUAAGAUUUAAUUCACAUGCCAUAUAAUUCACCCACUCAAAGUACACAACUUAGUGCUUUCGGCCUAUUCACAGAACGUGCAAACACCAUCGCAAUUAAUUUGGAACAUUUUCAUCACCCCAAAAAGAAAUCCCUAGGAGUCACCCUCUCCGUUUUCCUUCUUAACCCCUCCCCCAGCUGUCUACAACCGCUCAUCUCCUUUCUUUUUGUACCUAUUUGCCUGUUCCAGACAUUUCGUGUAAAUGGAAUCGUACAUCACAUUGUUCUUUGUCACUGGCUUCCACCGGCUUCUUUCACUUAGCAAAAAACAUUGUUUCAAGGGGUGUCCGUGUUGGAGCACGUAUCAGUCUGUCAUUUUCUUUUUUUAUUGCCCAGUACUAUUAUGUACAUUGGAUGGGUAGACCGGGUUUCAUUUUCAUUUUAUCCAUGCAGUCCAUGGAAGACGUCUGGGUUGUUUCCAUUUGGGGCUAUUAUGAAUAAUGCCUCGAUGGAAUCAUGUGCAAGUUUUUGUAUGAACAUGUGUCUUCAUUUCCCUUGGACAUAUACCUAGGAGUGGAAAGGCUGAGUCAUAUGCUAACUUCAUGUUUAUCCUUUUGAGGAACUAACUACCAGAAUGUUUUCCAAAGCAGCUAGCUGCAUCAUUCAGCACACCAUCAGUAGCGUAUGAGACUUUCAGCUUCUCCACAUGUGUACCAGCAUUUAAUGUCUUUUUUAUCAUAGCCAUUCUAGUGGGUGUGACGUUGUAUCUCUUUGUGGUUUUGAUUUGCAUUUCCCCGAUGACUGAUGAUGCUGAGGAUCUUUUCAUGUAUUUAUGGGCCACGUGUGUAUCUUCCUUGGAGAAGUCUCUGUUCAUAUGUUUUGCCCAAUUUUUAAUUGGGUUUUUUAUCUUUUUAUUAUCGAGUUGUAGGAGUCCUUUAUGUAUUCUAAAUACAAGCCCUUUAUCAGAUGUAUGAUUUGCAAAAGUUUCCUCCCAUUCUAUUGAUUCUCUUUUCACUUUCUUUUUUUUUUUUUAAUGUUUAUUUUUGAGAGAGAGAGAGAGAGAGAGAGAGGGAGACACAGAACCUGAAGCAGGCUCCAGGCUUUUGCUGCUUGUGUUUUAGAUAUCAUGGCUAAGAAACUGUUGCCUAAUCCAAAGUCACAAAGAUGUAUACCUGUUUUUUCCUAAGAUUGUUUAUUUAUUUAUUUUUAAUUUUUUAAUGUUUAUUUAUUAUUGAGAGACAGAGAGAGACAGAGCAUGAGCAUGGGAGGGGCAGAGAGAGGGAGAGACACAGAAUCUGAAGCAGGCUCCAGGCUCUGAGCUGUCAGCACAGAGCCCGACGUGGGGUUCUAACUCACAAAUCAUGAGACCAUGACCUGAGCCGAAGUUGGACGCCCAACCGACUGAGCCACCCACGUGCCCCUCUAAGAUUUUUUAAAUAGUUUCAGCUCUAACAUUUAGGUCUUUGAUCAUUUUGAGUUAGUUUUCAUAUACAGUGUGAGGUAGGGAUCCGACUUCAUUAUUUCACAUGUGGAUGUCCAGUUAUCCCAGUACUGUUUGUUGAAAAGACUAUUCUUUCCCCACAGAAUUGUCUGGGCAUCAUUGUCGAAAAUCAACUGACUGCAUUAAACCUUUAGAUGUAUUAUUUAAACCUACAUUAACCCUGUGAGGUAGAGACUAUUAUCAGUGUCGCCUUAUAGAUGAAGGCCCUAAGGCCAAGAGAGAUUAUGUGACUGGCCCAUUAUCACACAGCUAGCUGGUGGUGUGGCUGCAAUUCAAACCCAGGGUUACUUUGAGCAUUAAAUGAGUAAAAUAUAUAUCAAACACAUAUAGCGAGUAUUGCAUAAAUUUUAUUUAUUAUUAAAACAAAAUUUUUUUGAUAUUUAUUUAUUUCUGAGAGAGAGACAGAGCACGAGCGGGGGAGGGACAGAGAGAGAGGGAGACACCGAAUCUGAAGCAGGCUCCAGGCUCUGUGAUGUCAGCACAGAGCCUGACUCGGGGCUCGAACUCACCAGCCGUGAGAUCAUGACCUGAGCUGAAGUCGGACGCCUAACGGACUGAGCCACCACCCAGGCGCACUGUUUAUCAUUAUUUUCAUCAUCAUUGCCCCAGAGUGUUCAAAUCUCCCAUCACUUGUUUUUGAAAUACAUGACAGCUGUCAAGAGAAAUGGAACAAUUUUGCUUGUUGUUUUUCCUUUUCUUUUAUCAUUUUCUGGAUAAUGAACUAACCCUCUAGUAGCUGUUGGUGAUGACUAAUGAGGUUUCUUUGUUAGUACCAUUCUGAACUCACAGAUUUUUAAAUACUUGAUGUGUUUAAAUUUUUUGUCAAUUUUUUUUAUUUACCAACUUAACCAUUUUUUAAAUUUUAUUUAUUUAUUUUUGAGAGAGAGAGAGAGCAUGAGUGAGCAAGGGGCAGAGAAUCCCACGAAGGCUCCCCACUGUCAGUACGGAGCCCGAGCGGGGCACAAACUCACCUGAUGCAGGCCUCAAGCUCACCAACUGUGAGAUCAUGAACUGAGCCGAAGCUGGAUGCUUAACUGACUGAGCCACCCAGGCAUCCCUCUUUGUCAGUAUUCUUUUGGACAAAUCAUAUUGUCCCUGAUUUUUCCAAUGAGAACGCCUUCAAGUGGCUUCUGUGUCCUUUCAGGGGCGGCUCGGUGGCUCCGUUGGUUAAGCGUCCGACUUCAGCUCAGUUUGUGAUCUUGUGGUUCGUGAGUUCGAGCCCCAUGUCAGGCUCUGUGCUCACAGCUCAGAGCUUGGAGCCUACUUUGGAUUCUUUGUCUCCCUUUCUCUCUGUCCUUCCCCUGCUCGCACUCUGUCUCUCUCUCUCUCCCUCAAAAUAAAUAAACUUAAAAAUAAAUUUAUAAAAGUGACUUCUGUGUCCUUUCAAUAUAGCCUCAUCAUUCUUUAAGCAUUGCCUUACCAGCACUACAAGACAUUCCAGCCUCAUCUUGUCCUUUCUCUAAGGAGCUCUGGUUUCUUUAUCACAAGAAUGAUGUUUAGAAGCUGUCUUAGUCAGCUCAGGUUGCUAUGACAAAAUUCCAUAGACUGGUGGUGUACAAUAGAUAUUUAUUUCUCAUAGUUCCGGUGGCUCCAAAGUCCAAGAUAAGGUAUUAAUAGACUUGGCUUCCGGUGAGGGCCCUCUUCCUGGGUUGCAGACAGCUGCCUUCUUGCUGGAUCCUCACAUAGUGGCCAGAGAGCUCUGGUCUCUCUUCCUCUUAUAAAGACACAAAUCCCAUCAUGGGGUCCCCACCCUCAUGAGCUCAUCAAAACCUAAUUACCUCCCAAAGGCUCCAUCUCCAAAUACCAUCACAUUGGAGGCUAGAGCUUUGGCAUAUGAAUUUAGGGGGGUAGGGCACAAACAUUUAGUCCAUAACAGAGACCACAAUUAAUAAUUUUUUAAAUAUCAUCAUUUCCAUACACCCAAACAUUAACAACCUUUGCCAUUGUUUAGAACAAAGGAAGAAAUAUGUUGGCUGUGAACUUAUUUUAUUUAUUUAAAAAAAAUUUUUUUAAUGUUUAUUGAUUUUUUGAGAGAGAGAGAGAAAGAGAGAGACAGAGACAGAGACAGAGCGUGAGCGGGGGAGGUACAGAGAGAGAGGGAGACACAGAAUCCGAAGCAGGGUCCAGGCUCGCAUUGUCAGCACAGAGCCUGACUCGGGGCUUGAAUCCACAAACUGUGAGAUCACGACCUGAGCUGAAGUUGGACGCUUAACCGACUGAGCCACUGUUGGUUGUGAACUUUAAAAUAGGUGUGUAUGUGUGGAGACACAGUUACUCAAAAUUCUUUGGGACUGGACGUACCAAGACGAUGUUCAAAAUCUUGAAUGACCACUUAGGGCCCUGCCCUUCAGAAGUAAGCCUGGGGACCAAUCCCAGCAUUGGGCAACCUUUGGGGAACUCAUGUUUUCCUCUGUACCUCAUUUUCCUCCAUGGAUGGGGGGCAUAGACCGGUGUGAUGCCAGGCUUUAACCCUUUAGUUGCUGGAGGGUGGAGAAGUCUGGGCAGUUCUGGGGGAGGCCCUUGGAGGCAUCAGGGCAGGUUAUUUAUAAACGGGCAUGAAGGUAUUGUCCUAUUUUAACAACCAGCUAAAUGUCAACUGUGAGUAUGCCAGCAAAAAUAUUUAAAGACUGGGGUGCCUGUGUGGCUCAGCGGGUUGAGCGUCUGACUUUAGCUCAGGUCGUGAUAUCACGGUUCUGAACGUGAGUUCAAACCCUGCAUCGGGCUCUCUGCUGUCAGCACUGAGCACUGCUUUGGAUCUUCUGUCCUCUCUCUCUCUCUGCCCCUCCCCAACUUGCUCUCUCUCUC